rnacentral:rRNA from 1 species
CAACUUUCAACAGUGGAUGUCUAGGCUCGCACACCGAUGAAGAACGCUGCGGAACUGCGAUACGUAAUGCGGAAUUGCAGAAUUCAGUGAGUCAUUCAAAAUUUUGAACGCAUAUUGGCACUUCCGGGUUAGUCCUGGGAGUAUGUUUGUAUCAGUG